rnacentral:lncRNA from 1 species
AUGGUGCUGAAAGGACAGCUCCCUGCGAGCGGCCGCGAGCAGGCGGCUGGCUGCGAACUAAGGGGAGGCGUGGGCCCUAGCCGGAGACUCCAGGUAGAGCCCGAAGGGCCGGGGUCCUGGAGCCAGGACCGCCCCGGCUGCGGCGGAGACUCAAGUCUGAACCCAGAGAACAACUUUGAGCUCGCGGGGGUGGGGGACGUCGAUCUAAGCUACUUCUGGCUGUGCUUAACCCGAAGCCCGCCGGAGCACGCUUCGCCCAGGAGGAGGGAGUCGCCCCCGAGGGGUACAGUUCGUGCUCCCGGAGUGAGUCAGAGGGCGGCGGCAAGGGGGCGGACAGACGGCAGGUGCAGGGGAGGAGAACGUAAACGUCGACUGGGGAUGGGGGACCAAGGGGACUAUUUGUCCCUUCCCGGGAGGAGAAGCGGCUUGGGCAGCGUAAGUCCGCCGCCUGGAGUCUUCGGGAACGACCCCUCCAGUGCUCCGCUCUCGUCCGCCUCAAUCUGCCCCCUCCCUCAGCAAAGUUUGAAACUGGGCCGGGUCUUGGGGUUGGAGCUAUGUGUGUUGGGGGAAGGGGCGCUCUCUGUGGCCCACCGGGAGCUCCAAGGCAGAGUUGCCGGGGGGAUGGGUCUCCGCGGGGGUCCGAGAGAGGGACGCCGGGGUUCCUGUCCUCUCUUCUGGCGGGGAAACGGGAACCCCCGGCCACUUCCGCUUUUCAGCCUGGGCCGGCUCCCUACCUCCUCCCAUCCUCCGCUGCCCCUCCCCUCCCCCAUGCUUCUCCCAUCCCGGGCCACGGGGUGGGGACGGGGCGGGGGGAGGGGGUGGAAUGACGUCCCCUGUCUCUGCCACUGCCUUUGGCGUACAGUCCCCUGCCAGAAGCAAAUGAGUGUUGAAUUGAGUUGCGGUGAAUAUAGCCCAGAUUUGAGCCAUAAAAACAGAAAAACAGCCAUAAGGACAACCACUGCAGGUGCCCGAGUCGGCUUGUCAGAUGGCAGGGCCCAGUCCCGAAAACCUCCAGGGGCUCAGAUGGUCGAGCCUGAGCCAGUGCUUGGGCUGGGACGGGCUCGGAGGGAGUCGGAGAGGGCAAGGAAGCUGAAGGAGCGCCCUGGGUCCCCGGCGCACUGA